CAGUCGCCGCGGUAAUACGAAGGGUGCAAGCGUUAAUCGGAAUUACUGGGCGUAAAGCGCGCGUAGGUGGUUUGGUAAGAUGGAUGUGAAAUCCCCGGGCUCAACCUGGGAACUGCAUCCAUAACUGCCUGACUAGAGUACGGUAGAGGGUGGUGGAAUUUCCUGUGUAGCGGUGAAAUGCGUAGAUAUAGGAAGGAACACCAGUGGCGAAGGCGACCACCUGGACUGAUACUGACACUGAGGUGCGAAAGCGUUGGGAGCAAACAGGAUUAGAUACCCCCGUAGUCCCUGUCUCUUAUAC
rnacentral:rRNA from 1 species